rnacentral:misc_RNA from 1 species
UUAUUUUGGUGCAGGACAUUGGACAAAUUCUGAAAAUGAAACAGGUGAUUCCUUGCAUGUGCAGUGAGUUAUGACAGAGUCAUGUUUGGAGUGCAUCUUGCUGGAAAUGUAUCUAUUACAAGAAUGAGAAAUUGAUGAGUUGUUAAGCUAGAAGGUCUAGAUGAGCUAGCCAUGAAUAUUAAGGGAAAGAAAUGUGUUAAGGUGAUGAGAUUGUAAGUUUUGGGCCUUGUGAAAA